rnacentral:rRNA from 1 species
CAGUCGCCGCGGGAAUACAGAGGGUGCGAGCGUUAAUCGGAUUUACUGGGCGUAAAGCGUGCGUAGGCGGCUUCUUAAGUCGGAUGUGAAAUCCCUGAGCUUAACUUAGGAAUUGCAUUCGAUACUGGGAAGCUAGAGUAUGGGAGAGGAUGGUAGAAUUCCAGGUGUAGCGGUGAAAUGCGUAGAGAUCUGGAGGAAUACCGAUGGCGAAGGCAGCCAUCUGGCCUAAUACUGACGCUGAGGUACGAAAGCAUGGGGAGCAAACAGGAUUAGAGACCCCGGUAGUCCCUGUCUCUUAUAC